CCAGUCGGGAGUGUUUUACGCAAGAAAAUGUUAGCUGCUAAAUUAAAUGCAAAGAUACGCUUCCCACAUGGCGAAUAGUUUUAAGUUAAACAGAAGACGAUCACGGUGUAUCUAUGCGGGAUCACGAAAGGUACCUCGAAGUACCGCUCGAAAUCUUCGACCGGCGAAUGAAUGGGACAAGCUGAGGCUCCCGGUUUUUCGUGGUUAGCCGGAUCCUCAAAAUCAUGCAACUCCAAGAUCUACGCAUAACUUAACAUCUGCAGCGAACCUUGAAGAAACCUUUGAAAAGGGGCUUGAUUCAUGUUGUAGAUGAAUUGUACAAAAUAAUUUGGAAUGCAUCCCUCGAAAACGAAAGAAUGCAUGCACAUCUCCAGAUUCAACUCCAUCUAACUUCACCGGCAUACGAAGGCUUAGAAACCCAUUUUCCAACCAUGUCGUCGCGGAUGCUUGGCAGUAAAAACAACCUUUCCCAUGGUUAGUGGUACAACCUCCGCAAAGGAAAAUAUCCGAUCCGAAUGGAUGCUACGGGACGGGGGGAUGUGGUGAAGAAUCGGUCGGGCACAUCUACAAACUCGGACAGCAACGGAAAGAUUCCUUUCUUUACACAGUAAAAGACCCACAUAGAGAGCAUUCUGAAUGCAUCCCCCGUAAACUGAAGAAUGCAUGCAUCUCCAGAAUUGACAUCCUUAAGGAUCAGCAAAGAUCAUGCAAAACUACGGCUCGUUAGCAGAUGUUAUCUCUGUCUUAUGUACUGCAGGUGCAUUGAUACCCGACCAGACUCAACAAUGAUGGAAAUGAAUUAAACUUCCGCUGUUGAAAAUUCAAAUACUUAGAAUCU